rnacentral:tRNA from 1 species
GAGGGUAUAGCUCAGUGGUAGAGUGUCUGCUUAGCAUGCACGAGGUCCUGGGUUCAAUCCCUGGGACCUCCA